UUCUCCUUUUCAGAGCUCAUACUGUGAGGAAAAAAUUAUAAAAAAUAUGCAAUGUAGUGCAGGUUAAACAUAAUGCAAUGCAAUAUAAUAAUGAUUAAGAGAUGAUAAAUAAACAUUGUUUAAAAGCCUGAUGUAUCAUAUUUGAUACAUUUUAACGCUUUUUUAUUGUAAAAUUGAUGGACUAUGAAUAAAAUAUGAAUAAUCAAGUAAACCUACUGUAAGUUAAAUCCACUAAGUUUUCAUUUUUACAUAUUACUAACAGUAUAACAUUUAUUCUUAUGUUUACUUUAUAAAAAUGAAGAUUUCACAGCAAAAAGUCAUUAUGCUAAAUAAACCCCUUUGCCAUAGGGAUUAAAAAAAAUAAAAAUUGUAAAAGGGAUAAUCUUAAAUACAGUUUAAUUGCCAGUAAGAUAUAUUAAUGAGUGGUCCGUUAUUCAACGGCUCCUUGUACAGUUAGUAGUUAGAUUGGACUACAUUCAAACUCUCUGCAGGGUCUAUUUUUGCCAGCAUUUGUUUUAUAGGUAUCUUUCUGUAAGUGUUUUUUAUUGUGUAGCUAAAACAAUUGACAAGGUGCCAGUAAAAAUGUCAGUAAAAUUCCUCCUAUCUCUUUCUCACCCACUCUGUUUUUCCAGAGCCUAAGGGACAGCAUCAAGCUCAGCCAGAGUCAGUUUAUUGUUAAUUUAUGAGUCUUCUUGUUGGCCCAGUGGCUGUUUAUGGCUGUGCUCAAUAUAGCAUCAUGUAUCUGGUCAUUGGGCGGCAGUGUGGCAGAUUAAGUGCAAGCCUUGUUUUAGUUCCCUCAACAGGCGUGCAUUGUUUGAGAUGGUACACUCAAGAACCCCUCUGGCCUACUGGACCCUCUGGCCUACUGGAAUUUUGUCCUGAGUGUUUUUCUACACUCUUGGACUCUAUUUGAAAGUGGAAUUACCUUGUUGGUGUUCAAUAUCAAAUAAAACGUUUUGAUGAAGCAAAUUAUAUGACUUCAUCAUUUGUAUGUCAAAAACUAAGUGUGCCUCCAUUAGAUUUGGUCACUGCACACUUUUCUUUUCAAAAUAAAGACUAUUCAUUAAAUGUCACCCUCUUCAGUUUCCAUACUUAUCUAGGUGUCAAUGCUAACACAUUUGAUAACAGGGUUAAAAAUGUUCAUGCAUAAGUGUCUGAUUCUUAUUGUUGAUUUAGCAUAAGUGUUCAUGCUUGCAAAUAUUUUAAGUUAAAAUUAGGAGAGGCAUUUAUUUAGUAAAUAUCAAUCGCUUAGUAUUACAUUAGUAUUAUAAUUGGGCCUGUUUCCUCUCAUACUCCACCCAAAAAUGAAAAGUUUUGCAGGGAUGUUUCUUAAUGAAAAAAAUGUUUUGUUGAAAUAAAAUUUUCACAUCAGUACUACUGACAUACUGACAGAAUUGACUUCAUAUUAGCAUUAGGGGAUUUAAACUGUUAAAAUGUAUGUUGAUACUGUGACAUAUGGUUAUUCGACCUUAAAGGACCCUGUGUGAUAUUAUUUCAUCUUGUAACAUAUUUAUUUUAAAGACUUAAUGUAUAUCAGAAGGGUGUAUGACUGGUAUGUCUCUGAGGGCCUCUUUGAACUCAUGUCCAUGACACUUUUUCUCCCUGGCAGAGAUCCAGGGUCCUGCAGGGCCAGUGCAGACUUGUGCUGCCUGGUGGGGGUUCCUGUGUGGGGGUGAUGGAGGUUGCGGUCCAGUAGGUCUGGACUGUGUCCAGUAAGUGUUGUUGGGCCAACUAAUUUAAACAAAGAGGGACAGACAUUAGAGAUGUAUGUGUUUGUAAGAGAGAGAAAGAGGGGGAGAGAGAGAGAGAGAGAGAGAGAGGGAGGGAGGAUGAGACCACAAUGUGUGGUUAGGUUCAGACAGAUUCAAAGUGGUAAAAAGGUUUUUUAUGUUGACUCAACAAAUAGUUUUUUUUACAGUGUACACUGUCUGACAGAAAUGAGAACAGUUAAAUGUAAAAAGAAUGA